rnacentral:misc_RNA from 1 species
AAGUCGUAACAAGGUUUCCGUAGGUGAACCUGCGGAAGGAUCAUUAGUGAAUUGGGGCCCCGUGCCUCUACACUUCUCGCUGUGCGCCCCUCGCGGGGCUUGCACGCUUGAUUCUUCACACCUCUGUGCACCGUUCGUUUGGUGAUUUGCGUCGCCAUUCGCCUUAUACAUUGACGUCUGUAACGAAUGUGAUCUUCAUAAUUGUAAUACAACUUUCAACAACGGAUCUCUUGGCUCUC